UAGGGAAUCUUCGGCAAUGGGCGCAAGCCCGACCGAGCGACGCCGCGUGCGGGAUGAAGGCCCUCGGGUUGUAAACCGCUGUCAGAGGGGAUGAAAUGCCAGGCAGCAAUCUGUUUGGUUUGACAUAUCCUCGGAGGAAGGACGGGCUAAGUUCGUGCCAGCAGCCGCGGUAAGACGAACCGUCCAAACGUUAUUCGGAAUCACUGGGCUUAAAGGGUGCGUAGGCGGCCCGGAAAGUUGGGUGUGAAAUCCCUCGGCUCAACCGAGGAACUGCAUUCAAAACUACCGGGCUUGAGGGAGAUAGAGGUGAGCGGAACUCAGGGUGGAGCGGUGGAAUGCGUUGAUAUCCUGGGGAACACCAGUUGCGAAGGCGGCUCACUGGGUCCCUUCUGACGCUGAGGCACGAAAGCUAGGGGAGCGAAGA
rnacentral:rRNA from 1 species